UACAGAGGUCCCAAGCGUUGUUCGGAUUCAUUGGGCGUAAAGGGUGCGUAGGUGGCGCCGUAAGUCGGGUGUGAAAUUUCGGAGCUUAACUCCGAAACUGCAUUCGAUACUGCGGUGCUUGAGGACUGGAGAGGAGACUGGAAUUCAUGGUGUAGCAGUGAAAUGCGUAGAGAUCAUGAGGAAGACCAGUGGCGAAGGCGGGUCUCUGGACAGUUCCUGACACUGAGGCGCGAAAGCCAGGGGAGCGAACGGG
rnacentral:rRNA from 1 species